rnacentral:rRNA from 1 species
AUUGAACGCUGGCGGCAGGCCUAACACAUGCAAGUCGAACGAGUCGCGGACGGGUGAGUAAUGCCUGGGAAUCUAGCUUAUGGAGGGGGAUAACUACGGGAAACUGUAGCUAAAACCGCGUACCAUAGGAGGAGCCCAAGUGGGAUUAGGGAGUUGGUGAGGUAAAGGCUCACCAAGCCGACGAUCUCUAGCUGGUCUGAGAGGAUGACCAGCCACACGGGGACUGAGACACGGCCCAGACUCCUACGGGAGGCAGCAGUGGGGAAUAUUGCGCAAUGGGGGCAACCUGACGCAGCCAUGCCGCGUGAAUGAAGAAGGCCUUCGGGUUGUAAAGUUCUUUCGGUAGGGAGGCGUUACCUGCAGAAGAAGCACCGGCUAACUCCGUGCCAGCAGCCGCGGUAAUAC